rnacentral:lncRNA from 1 species
CCAGCCACGCCUUCCAGCCCAGAGCAAAGUUUUCAGAAGAUAAGAACUCUGUGGUUUUCAGCAAGGAGACAAUAAGAAGUUGUUCCUAAUUGGCUUCCUGUCGCAGUCCUCAGGGCACCUGCUGGUUCCAGCCUGGAUCCAGCCUACCUUGACCUUUGCCAGUUGGCACCGAUGUGCAGAUAACCAGUGAAGCCCAGGAGCAAAUCCUCAAAUCCAGACCUGCAGAAUGGGACGAGUCUUGUGUGAAAUUCUCAGGCGAGAGCUCUGAGCCCCAAGGCCUCCUUCGCACACCCCGGCCCUGGGUCUGAUCUGGUUUCACGACCUGUUUCAGCUCCAUGCUGUGCCGUGAGAAACCUCUCUGCAGGUCCCUACUUG